rnacentral:rRNA from 1 species
AUACGGAGGGUGCAAGCGUUAAUCGGAAUUACUGGGCGUAAAGCGCGCGUAGGCGGUUUAGUCAGUCAGAUGUGAAAGCCCCGGGCUCAACCUGGGAACUGCAUUUGAUACUGCUGAACUAGAGUAUGGUAGAGGGAAGUGGAAUUCCGGGUGUAGCGGUGAAAUGCGUAGAUAUCCGGAGGAACACCAGUGGUGAAGGCGACUUCCUGGACCAAUACUGACGCUGAGGUGCGAAAGCGUGGGUAGCAAACAGGAUUAGAAACCCCAGUAGUCC